rnacentral:rRNA from 1 species
UACGUAGGGGGCUAGCGUUGUCCGGAUUUAUUGGGCGUAAAGAGCGUGUAGGCGGCCAGGUAGGUCUGCUGUGAAAACUCGAGGCUCAACCUCGAGACGUCGGCGGAAACCAUCUGGCUAGAGUCCGGAAGAGGAGAGUGGAAUUCCUGGUGUAGCGGUGAAAUGCGCAGAUAUCAGGAAGAACACCCGUGGCGAAGGCGGUUCUCUGGGACGGUACUGACGCUGGAGACGCGAAAGCGUGGGGAGCGAACAGG